rnacentral:lncRNA from 12 species
AUGAAAUUCCAACCUGGAGGAUUUGACCACAGAGGAAAAGAACGGGAUGACUUAAGCAAUGCCCCCCAGGCUUUCAGGUGCAUACGAAUCCCCUGGGGAUCUCCUUACAAUGCAGAUUCUGAUUCGAAAGGUGCCCCGAGGAUGGCCUGGCAUUCUGCAUUUUUAAGAAGUUCCCAGGCAAGACUAGGUACAGAAUUUGCAGGGCCUCUGCGCAAAAUGAAAAUGUUUCAAAAAUAUCAAACAUCUCAAGGUGAAGAGAGAACAUUCAACCAGUGGGUGAUCCUUCUAGGUGCAGAGUCCUCCUGAACGUUGGGCCCCCCGGGGACAGCCAGGUCACAGGCCCACGACGCUGGCAUCCCCCCGGGGGAUACUGAUGUAGAGCCAGAAAUGAGCAAGCCUGUAAAACUGGACUAUUCUUUAGACUCUGAGUUCCCAACCCGGCGGCUCUCCCUUGAAUUCCAUCAAGAGAGGAUGGUUUCUCCAGCACCAAAACGCUCUCGGUGUGAGGUGGCCCCGAGGUGACAGCCUGGGUCCCCGGUUCACGGUCCCGAUCUGCUUGCACCUGUCUUUGGUGAGAUGCUAAAUGUGUAAGCGCUUCACGGACUGCGGGGCGAUGCAAACACCGGCGUCUCUGCCCUAAGAUGCUUCAAGUGACAACCUGGCGAAGGGAACUGGCGUGGGGACCUCGGUGCUGCCCGCGUGGGUCUCCAAGUUCAGGCCUCCGGGCUGAGAUCACUGAGAUUUGGUGUGAGCGAUCCUGAGAGAGGGGGCUUCGGGGAGGCCGCAGAAACCCCCAGCAGCGCCCGCAGUGCUCCCUGGAGCCCCGAGGGGAGCACCACCUGUGGGGACGCCCUCGGGGACCUGGUGGCUUCCCCCUGCUGAGGCCUGAAGGUGGGGGGGGGUUGGCCUGCAGUGAGAGGCACGCGGACAACGGGGAGGGGCUGGCUGGACACCCGCUGCUGCCUCGGGGUGGGAGUGCUGGGGGGCACUUGCAGGGUCCCCCGCCCACAGGGGCAGAACUCAGCGUUCCUAGUCUCCUGCCACCCCUACCUUGGACCCCCACAUCCCCUAGGGGUGCCUAGAUGAUGCUGGCCCAGAGGCGCCGCCGGCCCUGCUGGGGCCCCCGCCUUCCUGCCGGUGACCCCUGGCAGGUGCCACCCUGGUGCCCGUCUUCUCUCCUGGCCCGUCCUUGUCGGGGGGCUGUCCCCAGCCCCCCUGCACCGGCACAGGUGCCCAGUGAGCAGCCGCGCUGCUGUCAGGGGCUGGCGCAGGGACACGGUGCCCCCCCCAGGAGGCCCCAGAGGGA